AUAACAUUAAUCUUUUUAACAAAAAUAUGGUCACUUUAUCUAAACCCAUCCUAUCCCCAAGUUUAACCAGGAUAAGCUAUUUUCAUUGCCAAACUAUCUAUUCUCCACACCUUUCUGUUCUGAUUUUCUGAUAUUCCUCCCUGUAAAUCUGAAUAAAUUCAGCAAGUAAUAACAAUGCCACAAUUUAAAUAAUGUUUUCUUGAAAGGAAUCAUCCAGGGAAUACCUUUCCCUCUAACUUCUUUUACUUCACCCUGAACAGGCAGGUGAACCUAUACAUCCCGAAAUUCUCCAUAUCUGAUACCUAUGACCUUAAAGACAUGCUGGAAGACCUGAACAUUAAGGACUUGCUCACCAACCAAUCAGAUUUCUCAGGCAACACCAAAGAUGUUCCCUUGACAUUAACG
rnacentral:lncRNA from 1 species